CAGCUUGUGUCUUCCUUUGUUGUGGUUGGGAAUAGAUGAUGCAUACGAGCUUGUGUGCCCUGAAUAAGUAGAUCAAUCUUCUCCAUAUCUGUUAUGUUUCCUGGAUAGAAAGGUGAGUGGGGGGAGAAUGGGUGAAUGAGACUUAAAGUGAUGGUCUUGGGACCUUCAACAGUGGCAUGUAGUAGCAAAGCACUUGAGAGUAGAGAAAUUAGAGAUAACAAUGUCUCCAUGAAAGCCAUUGAAGCAA